CCUACGGGUGGCUGCAGUGAGGAAUAUUGGUCAAUGGCCGUAAGCCUGAACCAGCCAAGUAGCGUGAGGGAUGACUGCCCUAUGGGUUGUAAACUUCUUUUAUGUGGGGAUAAAGUUCUCCACGUGUGCUUCUUUGCAUGUACCUUAUGAAUAAGGACCGGCUAACUCCGUGCCAGCAGCCGCGGUAAUACGGAGGGUCCGGGCGUUAUCCGGAUUUAUUGGGUUUAAAGGGAGCGUAGGCGGGUCUUUAAGCCAGCCGUGAAAUUUUGUGGCUCAACCCUGAGAGUGCGGCGGGUACUGGAGGUCUUGAGUGCGCUGGAGGCAGGCGGAAUUCGUGGUGUAGCGGUGAAAUGCUUAGAUAUCACGAAGAACCCCGAUUGCGAAGGCAGCUU
rnacentral:rRNA from 1 species